rnacentral:rRNA from 1 species
GUCCACGCCCUAAACGAUGCAGACUAGACUGCAGCAGGUUACACCCUGUUGCGGUCGGAGCGAAAUUGUUAAGUCUGCCACCUGGGAAGUACGGUCGCAAGGCUAAAACUCAAAGGAAUUGACGGGGGCUCACACAAGCGGUGGAGCAUGUGGCUCAAUUCGAAGCAACGCGAAGAACCUUAUCCUGGACUUGACAUGGUGGAAGUACGAAGUGGAAACACUUAGGACCGGUAUCCAAUCCGGAACCAUCACAGGUGCUGCAUGGCUGUAGU